rnacentral:rRNA from 1 species
GGUGAACGCUGGCGGCGUGCUUAAGACAUGCAAGUCGAACGGCAGUCUUCGGACUGUAGUGGCGCACGGGUGAGUAACGCGUAACUGACCUACCCCAAAGUCGCGGAUAACGAUUCGAAAGAAUCGCUAAUACGUGAUGUGCUGUCAGAUUGUGUUCUGCCAGUAAAGAUUGAUUGCUUUGGGAUGGGGUUGCUGUUCCAUCAGCUAGUUGGUGGGGUAAAGGCCCACCAAGGCGACGACGGAUAGCCGGCCUGAGAGGGUGGCCGGCCACAGGGGCACUGAGACACGGGUCCCACUCCUACGGGAGGCAGCAGUUAGGAAUCUUCCACAAUGGGCGAAAGCCUGAUGGAGCGACGCCGCGUGAGGGAUGAAGGUCUUCGGAUCGUAAACCUCUGAAUCAGGGACGAAAGACACUUCGGUGGGAUGACGGUACCUGAGUAAUAGCACCGGCUUACUCCGUGCCAGCAGCCGCCAUAACAC